rnacentral:rRNA from 1 species
UACGUAGGGGGCGAGCGUUGUCCGGAAUUAUUGGGCGUAAAGAGCUCGUAGGCGGCUCAGCAAGUCGGCUGUGAAAUCCCGAGGCUCAACCUCGGAACUGCAGUCGAUACUGCUGUGGCUAGAGUCUGGUAGAGGAGAGUGGAAUUCCCGGUGUAGCGGUGAAAUGCGUAGAUAUAUGGAGGAACACCAGUGGCGAAGGCGACUCUCUGGUCUGUAACUGACGCUGAGGCUCGAAAGCGUGGGGAGCAAACAGGA